rnacentral:rRNA from 1 species
AUUGAACGCUGGCGGCAUGCCUUACACAUGCAAGUCGAACGGUAACAGGUCUUCGGAUGCUGACGAGUGGCGAACGGGUGAGUCAUACAUCGGAACGUGCCUAGUAGUGGGGAUAACUACUCGAAAGAGUGGCUAAUACCGCAUGAGAUCUACGGAUGAAAGCAGGGGAUCGCAAGACCUUGUGCUACUAGAGCGGCCGAUGGAAGAUUAGGUAGUUGGUGGGAUAAAAGCUUACCAAGCCGACGAUCUGUAGCUGGUCUGAGAGGACGAUCAGCAACACUGGGACUGAGACACGGCCCAGACUCCUACGGGAGGCAGCAGUGGGGAAUUUUGGACAAUGGGCGAAAGCCUGAUCCAGCAAUGCCGCGUGCAGGAUGAAGGCCUUCGGGUUGUAAACUGCUUUUGUAAGGAACGAAAAGCCCCGGGUUAAUACCCUGGGGUCAUGACGGUACCGUAAGAAUAAGCACCGGCUAACUACGUGCCAGCAGCCGCCGUAA